rnacentral:lncRNA from 1 species
UGUGAAAACCUUACAUGUCUUCCAAACAACAUGGGUUCUCUUAAAUCCCUUACACAUUUAGAGAUUUCAGGUUGUAAAAACCUUACAUGUCUUCCAGACAACAUGGGUUCUCUUAAAUCCCUUACAUAUUUAAAGAUUUUAAGAUGUAAAAACCUUACAUGUCUUCCAAACAGCAUGGGUUCUCUUAAAUCCCUUACAUAUUUAAAGAUUUUAAGAUGUAAAAACCUUACAUGUCUUCCAAACAGCAUGUGUUCUCUUAAAUCCCUUACAUAUUUAGAGAUUAAAUUUUGUAAAAACCUUACAUGUCUUCCAAACAACAUGGGUUCUUUUAAAUCCCUUACACAUUUAGUGAUUUAUUAUUGUCCAAAUCUCACCUCUCUUCCCAACGACAUGGGUUCUCUUAAAUCCCUUACACAUUUAAAGAUUUCAUCUUGUAAAAAGCUCACAUGUCUUCCAAACAACAUGGGUUCUCUUAAAUCCCUUAUACAUUUACAGAUUUCAUAUUGUGAAAACCUUUCAUGUCUUCCAAACAACAUGGGUUCUCUUAAAUCCCUUACACAUUUAGAAAUUUCAAAUUGUAAAAACCUUACAUGUCUUCCAAACAACAUGGGUUCUCUUAAAUCCCUUACACAUUUAGAGAUUUCAAAUUGUUAAAACCUCAUAUGUCUUCCAAACAAUAUGGGUUCUCUUAAAUCCCUUACACAUUUAGAGAUUUCAUUUUGUGAAAACCUUACAUGUCUUCCAAACAACAUGGGUUGUCUCCAAUCCCUUACACCUUUAACAAUUGAAUCUUGUCCAAGUUUGGUUGAUAAUUCUUUUGCCCUGGAAUGUCUUACUUCUCUAAAAGAAAUAGAAGUGGCCGGCUGUGAUCAAUGGAUUAGAAAUUGGUCUGACGAUGCAAUAACCAGAUUUUUCUCAGUUGAAGAAGGUUCAUUGAUUUCGAUAUGCAUUAAGGAUGAUGAUAUUGAUUUAUUGUCUAGAUGGUUACGAAAGAAGAUUGAAUAUUCCACCAAAAUAACACAAACAUUGAUAAUCAACGGUGAUCAUCGAGGCAGUGAUUUCUAUAGAGGGAGACACCAUCUCAGUAUUUGUUGUUUUAAACAAGAGAAAUUACCAGAAGAGUUGGUGCAUGUUCAGGAUCUUCAAAUCAUGGCCGUUGAAAAUUGUCCAAAUCUAAAUUGCUUGCCGAAUGGGAUGAAAAAACCACAAUUUUUGAAAAUUGAGAAUUGCCCGAUGUUGGAGAAGAAUUGUGAAGAAAGAGGUUACGAGUAUGGUGAUGAAAUUGAAUCAAUCAUGACCUUUCAUAAUUUUUAAAAUAAAUUAAUCAUCUCACAACCGUUCAUUUAUUAUUAUUAUUAUUUUCUCUAUUAGAGUAUACCACUGUGUAAACUGUUUUUUUCUUCUUCCGUUUAUCGGUAAAUAACGAUAUUUUUCGUACGAAUAUGUCGUUCACAGAAACAUCUCGUACAAUGUUUUUAAAUUUCACUAUACCUCCGAUCGCUCUCUGUUUCUUUCUCAUUUAUGCUUUUUGAUUUUCUCUCUCCUCCCCUUCGCCGCCUAAAUCGUUCGCCGAGAAAUCGCCCGUCGAAAUCAUCCGCCAAACGCUCGUGCGAAGUCGUGUCCUCGCCGAUAUCGUCGUCUCCAAGUCUCCCCCGUCUUCCCAAGUCCAAAUCUCACGUUCUCGUCGUCUUCAUUGUUCCCAAGUCCUCGUCGAUCUUGUCCGCACCAUAUUCGUCUUCAUCUUAAAGUCUUAAAGUACGUAUUCGAAACCGCCGCCGUUGUCGAUGUCAUUAUUUUUUGGGUAUCCACUGACGGCGUCUUCAUCUUCUACAUUUGAAUAAACCAAACCCAUGCAUAUUUGUCAAUGAUGUAUUGUCUUCCGUCAAGGUAGCGGAACACUUUUUGAUCCCACCAUAUUCUUUGAUUGGAUCGAACCAGAGGUAGAUUCUUUGCUCUCUAUCUCCCUUUCCACCUGUGAUCGAUCGAACACGUUGGUCUGAACAAUUAAUGUAUGGCUCUUUGAGUUUUUUUUCCCAAGAACUCGAAGUCAAUCUCAUCGUGUUCAGAAUUCUGUGACUGAAGACUGAAGAAGAAGAACCACGAGGAUGGUGCAUGGUGGUGGUGAGAUAAUGAGAUUUAUCAGUACUGGUGAGAAUGAAAAACAUAGACUUACAUAGAAUGCAGUGGCUGUUCCGGCAAAAUCCCCGGGAACCAUCUUAAUCUGUAUACUCAAGUGUCCAAACAGGUAAGACCAUAUAUAAUUUUUCCUAUUAAUCUUCUAGCUGCCUCUCUAAUUUUUGCUUCUUUUCUAAUUUUUUUUUUAUAUCUUUGAAUAAUUUAAAUCUAGUUAAGUUACACUUCUUUUCAAAUUCAAACUCUUAUUUUCACAUUUAGGGGAGUGGGUCGGGUCAAACCUGAAUUCGAACAUGUCGGGUCUAAGUUUGGUUGGAUAUUAUCGGUCAUAAAACCCGAUAUACCUGAACCCGAGUUUUUUUCACCCGAUAUGAAGGACUUGAACCUGAGUUUUUUUCACUUGAUUUUUUUCGGGUCGGGUUCAGAUAAGACGUCCCGAACCAAACUCGACUCUCCUUAAACCCGAAUUUUUUUAUAAAAAUAUCUUAAAAUAAAAAUAACGACGUCUGCAAGGGGAUUGACUGUAACAUCUGCGAUCUCCAUUCCAACAGAAAAAAAAUUAGUAAAUUUGAAAGAAAAAAACGAAAAUGAAAUUCCCUAAAUCUUCACUGCACAAAUUGGUAAAAUUGAAAUUGAAUUUCAUUAAAGAAUAUGAUUUAACAUUACAUCUUUUAUCUUUACAUAGCCUUAGACUUAACCUCUAACUAUAUAUAACUGCCUAACUGUAUUCUAAACUCAUUUAUAACUUCAUUCUCUAAUACUGAUUACUGUACAUUUUUUUCCAAUAUAUAAUAUUAAGCAAAUUUGACUACAAGCAUCAAAACUGAGGAUCAAAAUUUUCAAGACGAGGAAAAAAAACGAAAUUAAAAUUAGAAUAGUAUGUUGAUGUUCUCACCUAAUUUGACAUUAUCAAGAGAGUUGAAUAUGGAUAUAAUGUCAUAUAAUGGUAGAAAACAAUGAAUUAAUUUAAACAACAUUUAUCAAUCAAAUCCAUCAAUCAGACCAUCAACUGCAAGUUAAUUUCAUGUGUUGAACUCAAUUAAACAAUACUGAACAACCAGAAUGUGAAAUUCAUGGUGAUCGCGACAAUAACAUAUUACCAGUUAUUGCUAGUACGUAUUAUGCAGUCAUUCUAAGUUGUUUUUCAGCUUACAACAUUUAUUUUGCUAAACUCUCAUCCUGAUGUUUUCUGCAGCUUUUACUUGAAACAAGUGUGGAUGUUCCUGAAAAAUAAAACAUGAUCAGCAAAAUCUAAACAACUUUUCCAAUAACCUUUAUUUAAAAACACUUUUCCAAUGAUCAAACAAUAUCCUCAAACCAAUUAAUUCCACUUUAUUAUUUCACCCUUUCAUUUUGAAUUCAAACAAAAGAUUAAUAAAAUAAAUCAACUGUGCUUUAUUCAUAAAUAUCAAACUAUCCCACAAUAAAUGCAUCAAAAUGAAAACAAAAAAGACAAUGCUUUUACCAUUGCUUCUCGAGCAGUGAGCCUGUCCUGAUGAUCAAUCAUAGCGAAGCAGCUUGUUAAGAAAAUCUAUGGCCUGUAUAUUUCUUUGAGUAAACAAGUGUUUAAAGGUUCGGAGUUUAACUAUUUGUUAGCUCAGGAGAAACUAAAUGUUGAUUGUCUCCAUUAAUGAAUUUGGACCAUGCUUUCCUGCUAUGCCUGGAAAUAUAUUAAUAUUAACAAACAUAUAUAUCACAUGUUUUCAUGUCUCCAAUUCUUUUAAUGAAUAUUUAUCUAUUUAAGAAAUUAAGAUAAAAACAGUAUAAUUCAAUAUCUCGUCGUCGUCAUCGUCGGAUCCAUCUUUAGAUUUGACUAUUUGAGUUUUUGACUAAUAAUUAUUUGAUGUUUUAUCUUAUUUAAAAUUUUAAAAAUUAUUUAAGAAUUAUUUGAUCAAAUUUUUCAUAUUAUGUAAAUAACAGAGUUUUUUAUGCAAAAUGUGAAAAAAAUUAUUAAACUCGAACACGACCAAACCCUACAUUCAAAUCGAGUUUUAUAAUUUUAGAUGUUCGCGAGUUUUGACUUGAACCCGAUUUUAAAACUUAGGUUCGAUUUUGGGUCAGGGCAAACCCAAGCCAUGCCCAUUCCUAAUUCAACUCUGAUGGAUCGUGGCUUACAAAUCGGGCGCUCACACACACACACACACACAAUUCUCUCUCUCAAGGAUUUAGUGUAUUCUCUCUCUAUUUUCCAGCCCGGCCCCUCCCUUGUUGGACCAGGGGAGGAAUUUAUAGGUUCAUCCCCGUGCCUCUUGGCUUAUAGACCUCCCUUGGCCCAGGCCCGUCGUGCGGUCGAGCCCGUGGUCGGUUCGGUCCAUGAUCCGUUGGACGGACCACGGCACCAACAAACUCAUAUUAUUAUUACCAUCAUACCAUUAAGGAUGAUUUUAUCGUUAAAUCCUUGUAGUGUUUUUAUUUUUACAUCGAAUUGACGAGUUUUAAUUUUAAUGGAAUGCUAGAGAAAGGAGACGGAUAGUUGAUAAAAUAUUUGUUUAGUAUUUGAAAGGUCAUGGGUUCAAUUUCCCAUGUAUCCAAAUAAUUAUUUCUUUUAAUUCGAGUCCAGACUCGUGGGCUCGAGUCUGACAAUUUUUAAAACGAGCCCGACCUCGACCAAACCAGGCUCGGCGAGCUCGAGUCCGAGCCUGGAUAAUUUCUUAAAGAGCCGAGCCCGAGCCUGACUUUAUAAGCAAAAGCUCGACUCGGCUCGUUUGACACCCUAGAGCCAGGGUAGUAGCUAUUACUGCAAUAUUAUAUGAGUACAUAAGUAGACAGAUAACCAGAAUAAAGGUUUUUUCCAGAAUAUUAAAAGAUGCAAGUCACACUGAUUUUUUUAAUCCAUAAUCUGUUGUUCUACACUUCAACAUCAUCUCAUUACAGAUUGCAAAUUUGCAAGGGGGUAUAAGAAGACGAAUCUGCACAUUAGUUUAGUAAUUGUAAUAAUUGUCAAUCAACUAAAAUCGGAAAGUAAAUCCUAAAUCAUAACUACUUACCAAAUCAACUAGCAUGGGGUUAAUUAUGAAUAUCCCUUAAACAUAAUAAAAUAUUAAAUGCAAUAUAUGGGGUGGACGUGCAUGGUGUGCAUUGAGAGUAAAUUUUUUAAUAAACGUACUCGUCUAACUUGGAUGUCUUUUUUGCUCGUUUGGCCAAGAAAAUAACAAGCUAUAUGCCAACAAAUUCGUUGAAUCGUCAAACUCAAUAAUAAUGCCAUAAGAUCGACAAUGAGUCAUGUUCAAAGAAAAACCUGUGGACCAUGGCUGAUUGACUAUUCCUUUAAAUGGUUCUUAAUUUAUAAGGGUGAGCCUGGGUCGGUUCAAAUCCGAACCCGGCGAAUCCGACCCGAACCCAAACAUGUUGGGUGUCGAACCCGAAUUUUUUUCACCCAAUUCAACCGAAACCUGAAUUUUUUUAUAAAAAAACCUUAAAAUAUAAAUAAUUAUAUAAAUAAAAUUUUAUUUUAUAUAAAAUAUUUUAUAAAAAUUUAAUAUACACAUUUAUUAAAUUUUUUUCUUCUUUUAAAAUCUAAACCCUAAUAUUAUUAUCAUUUUCCUAUAUAUUCUCUUCCAUUUUCAUCUUUCCUUUCCUCACCGUCGUUUUCGCCUAAUAAUUAUUUAAUAUUUUAAAAAUUAUUUGAUCAAAUUAUUUAAAUAACAAGGAUUUUUAUGCAAAAUUUUUAAAAAAUAUCAAAUCCGGCCCCGAACCCGACCAAAUCCGACAUCCAAUUCAGGUUCGGGUUAUAUAAUUUUAGAUGUUCCCGAUUUUGACUCGAACUCGAUUUCGGAUCAUGGCAAAUCCGACCCAUAUCCAUUCCUAGUUCUUUAUUCAUAGCUCACAUUUAUUUAAUCUUUUUUUUGUCGUUUUCUAUUAUUUAAUAACGUAGGAGUUAAGACCAAAUGGGCUCCGUAACUUUUCUCUCUCUCUAUAUAUAUAAAAUUGUUAUACCAGAGCCAAAUAAUAUAUUAUCGGAUAAAUCUAAUUGAAACGGAUAUCAAUUUUACUAUCUGGUUUGUAAUCAGGCAGAAACGGAUAUGUAUAUAGUAGUGAUAUUCGUCGUUAACUACCAAUAUAUAAACGUUAUAUGUAUAAAUUAAUAAAAUUAGAAUAGUUAAAUAUAAAAAUUUAAAUAACUCAUUCAAUAUUAAAUUAUUAGAAUUUAAACUCUCAUUUUCACAUUUAAAAUUUAUUUACAAUAUUCAACUUAGGGGUGGGACCCGAAUCUGAACAUAUUCAUUCCUAAUUCAACGACUCUUAUAUUAUUAUUACUAUCAUACCAUUAAGGAUAAUUUUAUAGUUAAAUCCUUGUAGUGUUUUAUUUUUACAUUAAAUUGACGAGUUUUAGUUUUAACGGAAUUCUAGAGGAGAAAGGAGACUAUGGAACAGGAACUAUCAGAUGAGAGCCAUAUAGGGGUAGUAGUCAUUUUUUGCGUUUUUCAAACUUAAAAUGAAAUUAUAUGAAAAUCAGUUGUUAAUAAUGAUACAGAUAAAUGAUUGUCUCAAUUAAACAUUUAAACCCUUAUAUAUCACUUCUAUGAAGGUUUUUAACUAUAAAUAAGGAAAAUUAUAUAUUGAUAUAGUUCGUAUACUUAUAAUCGAAAGUCAAACUCAAUAAUAAGGCGAAAGAAGACGACUGGUUCAUUUUUUAUGUGCGUCACGUAGGACCAUCUAGACACGGAGAAUGACGUUAUGUGGUUGGUUGAGUGAUCAAGUUGCGUGGAUGGUUGGAAAUUAUAAUGGAUAAUAAAAAUAAUAUUCCCUAAAUUCAAUUAGAUCCUUAUCCUAAUUUAAAUCAGUUUAUUUCAAUCACUUAAUUUUAUUUUUUUCAAUGCAUCAACGGACCAAAUUAAACGUUUCCAAUUAUAAAGAAAGAUCAAAUUUGACCACCGGUUCCGAAUAUUGUCAUUCUACCUUUCAAAAUUUCUUCUCCGCAAACGAUCGAAGCCAUGGAAUCGGUGCUAUCAUUUCCUCUGGGAGAGGCCUCAAAAAGUCUCAUGAAAACUCUGGGGGCGGAAAUCACACUCAUAAAAAAUGCUCCGGACGAAUUGGAAAACCUGAAAAGACUCAAGACUGUCAUCGCCAAUGUUCAACAAGACGUUGCCGGCCAGGAAUUAAGCCAACAACAUGCUGGUUGGCUCGAUGAGAUGAUUGAUGCUGCGUAUGAUAUCGAGGAUAUCAUAGAUCUGUCUAGUACAGAGAUUCUUCGACGGAGAAGCUACAACAACAGGAAAUUAACUCGUUAUACCUGCCGGGUAAUUGAUUUUUUUUCUUACACCAACAAUCCUCUUAUUUUUCGCCACAAAAUAGGAAAAAGUGUGCAAAAAACAUUCGCUAGAUUGGCUAAUAUUGCGAAAGAGAAGGGAUACCAUCUUACUCUUAGCGGGAGGGAUGGAGUGGAAAAUCUGAGUACAAAGAUGCCAGAGACCUUUUCUGAAAUGGGUGGGGAUGUUGUACUGGGAAGAGAUCAUGAUCUCAAAAUUAUACUUGAACAAUUAUUGUUUAAAGAGGAAACAAACAUCGAGGUGCUUGUUUUAGUCGGAAUGGGUGGUGUUGGGAAGACUGCACUUGCAAAACUAGUGUACAAUAAUAGUCAAGUAGAUGCUCUCUUUGGUGAAAGAAAGCUUUGGGUUUGCGUAUCAGAAAUUUUUGAUCUGUCGAAAAUUUGCAAACAUGUUAUUGAGCAAAUAGAUGGAGAGUGUAAAGUCAAAGGAUUGCAAGCGUUGAGCAAGAAAUUAAAAGAGCUUUUACAAACAAACAUAUAUUUAUUAGUUUUGGACGAUGUUUGGACCAAUUCAAGUUUAACUUUGGAUUCUUGGUCGAAUAUGAAAUUAUUGUUUCAUAAUUGUAAGAUUCUGCUAACAACUCGUGAGGAGAAUGUAAAAUCUGUGAUUUUACCAGAACCCUACAUGCAUCGUGUGGGAUGUCUACCUGAGGAUGCUUCCUGGUCAUUGUUCAAGAAUAUUGCAUUUUCCAAUGGUAACGUUCCAGAGGAAUUGAAAGACAUCAGCAAAAGUAUUAUGAAAAAAUGCAAAGGUGUACCUCUAGCUGUGAGGGUUCUUGGUAGCAUGAUGCGUAAAAAAAAUUUUAUUUACUGGAAAGAGAUUGAGAAAAACAAUAUUUUUGAUCCUAAUAUUGAAGGUGAAAAUAGAAUAUUCUCAAUUCUAAAAUUCAGCUAUCAUAAUCUUCCUUUAAAGUCAAAGUUUUGCUUUGUCUACUGUUCUAUUUUCCCCAAAGAUUCGGAUAUAGAGAAAAUAGAAUUGAUCCAACAAUGGGCAGGCAAUGGUUUUAUUUCGCUUAACGAGGGAAAUAAGAUUUUCGAAGAUUUAUUGUCAAGAUGUUUCUUCCAAGAUGUCGAGAAAGAUGUUUACGGAAGCAUUACAACAUUUAAAAUGCAUAAUUUAAUCCAUGACCUUGCUGAAGCGAUUGCUAAGUCUCUGCAGUAUGGAAUCUUCGAUGACAGUAUUCGAGAUAGAAAGCAAGUUCGUUAUUUAUCGAUGAUAUUAAACAUGGGAGAAGAAGUUUCUUAUUCAGAUAUUUCAAUCAAAUUGAAAGAUGCAUGUGUAUUACGAACAUUGCAGUCUUCAUCUUCUGAUAUAGUAAGUGAGAAAUUUCUGGAUAAUUGCUUCACCAAGUUCAAAUUCUUGCGGGUUUUGGUUUGUAGUGGUCAGUAUAAGCUUAAACAUGUUCCAGCUUCCAUCGACAACCUCAAGCUUCUGAGAUACGUUGACUUCUCUUAUAUGGGCAUAACAAGACUCCCAGAAACGAUAUGCAACCUUCCAAAUUUACAGACGUUGAAAAUCAACUAUUGCUUUAAUCUUACUGUUUUGCCAAAGAAGUUGAGAAAAUUAUCCGAGUUAAGGUAUUUGGAAAAUGAUAGAUGUAUUGGUUUGGAUUCAAUGCCUGUUGGGAUAGAUCGCUUGAGUCUUUUGCAAACAUUGAAUACUUUCGUAGUGAAUGAUGGAGGAACAAAUUUAAAUGAAUUAAGACAUCUGGAUCAUCUAAAAAGAAGUCUUUGUAUACGAAAUCUUGACAGAAUUCAAAAUGUUGUUUUGGAAAAUGGAAUAUUAAAUAGAAAGAACAAUCUUGCAUCAUUGGAGCUGUUAUGGAGAUUGCAGGAAGAAAAUGAAGUAACGAAUCAGAAUGAUGAAAAAGUAUUACAAGCUUUACAACCACAUCCCAAUUUGAAAUCUUUAAAUAUAACCAGGUUUAAUGGAUUCUUCAUUCCCUUAGACAUGAGUUGUCUCCAAUCCCUUAUCUACAUGAAGAUUUCUGAUUGUAAAAACCUUACCACUCUUCCCAACGACAUAUGUUCUUUCCAAUCCCUUACACAUUUAAAGAUUAAAAAGUGUUACAACCUCACCUCUCUUUCCAACGACAUGUGUUCUCUCCAAUCCCUUACACAUUUAAAGAUUAAACAUUGUUACAACCUCACCUCUCUUCCCAACGACAUGUGUUCUCUCCAAUCCCUUACACAUUUAAAGAUUUCUUAUUGUCGAAACCUCACUACUCUUCCCAACGACGUGUGUUUUCUCCAAUCCCUUACACAUUUAAAGAUUUCUGAUUGUCGAAACCUCACCACUCUUUCCAACGACAUGGGUUGUUUCCAAUCCCUUACACAUUUAGAGAUUUCUUCUUUUGAAAACCUUACCUCUCUUUUCAACGACAUGAGUUUUCUCCAAUCCCUUACACAUUUAAAGAUUAAAGAUUUUGAAAACCUCACCUCUCUUCCCAACGACAUGGGUUGUCUCCAAUCCCUUACACAUUUAGAGAUUUCUUCUUUUGAAAACCUUACCUCUCUUCCCAACGACAUGAGUUCUCUCCAAUCCCUUAUACAUUUAAAGAUUAAAGAUUUUGAAAACCUCACCUCUCUUCCCAACGACAUGGGUUGUCUCCAAUCCCUUACACAUUUAGUGAUUGUUCAUUGUCAAAAUCUUACAUCUCUUCCCAACGACAUAUGUCGUCUCAAGUCCCUCACUACUUUAACAAUUAAAUCUUGUCCAAGUUUGGUUGAUGUUUCUUUUUCUUUGGAAUAUCUUACUUCUCUAAAAGAAAUAGAAGUGGCCGACUGUGAUCAAUGGAUUAGAAAUUGGUCUGACGAUGCAAUAAGCAGAAUUUGCUCAGUUGAAAAACAUUCAUGGAUUUCGAUAUGCAGUAAGGAUGAUGAUUUAUUGUCUAGAUGGUUACGAAAGAAGAUCAAUUCCACCAAAAUAUUAGAUAGAUUGCAUAUCAACGGUGGCCAUGGAAACAAUAAUUUUUCUUUAAUGUACGUGCCACACGAGCUCAGUAUUUGUUGUUUUAAACAAAAGAAAUUGCCAGAAGAGUUGGUGCAUGUUCAGGAUCUUAAAUAUUUGUGCAUUGAAAAUUGUCCAAAUAUAAGUUACUUGCCGGAUGGGAUGAAAAAACCACAGUUUUUGUGGAUUGAAGAUUGCCCAAUGUUGGAGAGGUAUUGUAAAAAAAGACGUUACAAGUAUGAUGAUUAUAAUUAAUUCUUCACUUAAUCCAAGAAGAGCUAGCAGAUUUUAUCUUGAUGAACAUAUUUCUACCACAACAAUUCCAAUGGUAAAACUUCGUUUUUUUACUCAUUGUGUUUUAACAGGAUUUUUUGGAACUGUUUGUAAUUAGUUGAUUUUUUCGGAACUGAUAGAUUUUCUACCGGUUACAUAUACUCCUUACUAUCGGACCUGGUUCGUAUUUCUUCAUCAGCGGUGUUUCCACACAUUGCAAAAAAGGACAGAAGAUGAUCGUCAAGGUUUGAUCUACUUAUAUUAACCAUGUUCCGUCAGAAUCUCCAUCAGAAUCGCCGUCUUCGUUUCUUACAAAUCGAACUGACUCCACUCCUGCAUCUUCUCCUGAAACGCCGAAGCCGAAGUCCAACGAUGUUGUUGCGACUAACAUCUUCUUUGCAUUGUCGCCUCUUUGUGCGGUCUUGUAUCUUUCUUCUUUCUUUGAUUGUUGUAGAAUCUAUUUUUGUUUGAUUGUUGAAUAAUCUUUUUUUUAAACUUUCUUUCUGCUACGACUCCCUGAGCAUAGUGGAUCUGCUACGACUCUCUGAGUCUUACACUUGAAAUGAUUUCUAUAAACUUGAUUAAAUGGAAUACUAAGAUUCUCUGCAUCACUUAUACCAUAUUUUCAAAUAGCGUUUUGCCCUAGCCGGAUCUGAGUACGGAUCUGCUCCAAUAUCAUUGAUUUUUUUUAAUCUGUUUUAAAAAUAGAUUAGGGCUCCCAAUGGUCAUACUCUCCUUCUUCCUCCACCAGUCAUCCUUCUUCCAUUGGCUAGGCUUCCUCCAACCAGCGACCUUCUUCUCUGGUGACCUCAGGUGACAUCCAGGGAACAGUUUUUUCCGACCAGAACUUUCAUUUUUGUAGGAACAUCAUUUCCUUGAGUUUUUCUGUUUUUUGUAACUACUAUUAUAUAUAUGAGGAUUAUUUUUGGGUAGCCCCUUAAACUUAUUUUUGGAUGCCCCAAUCAUAAACCAACGAAUGAUGAUUAUCAAAUGGCGGGAAGAGGUAUUUAAUUGGGUUUUGAAAAUCAAAUUGGUCUCAAUCUUUAUUUAUAAUUAUUUUAUAUAUAUUAUCAUGGUUUAAAUCAUAUCUUAUCUUCCAAUUCAGCUGCGUUUUACAAACUUGGAUGAUAUCUACUUGUUCAAUUUCAUCUAUCUUCGGAAGUGAAAGACAAAGUAGUUGAGUUAAUGGUUUGAUCAGGUCGUAUAUUAAUUUCAACUUUGAUUUUUUCCCAAAGAGAUUCCUUUCAUUUUAGCCGAUGAGGAUCAGAAUCUCUAGUAAAUAUCACAUAAAUGGUUGGCCAAUGUUGAUUGUCUCCAUUAAUGAAUUUGGACCAUGCUUUCCUGCUAUGCCUGGAAAUAUAUUAAUAUUAACAAACAUAUAUAUCACAUGUUUUCAUGUCUCCAAUUCUUUGUUAAUGAAUAUUUAUCUAUUUAAGAAAUUAAGAUAAAAACAGUAUAAUUCAUUAUCUUAUACCUCCCAACAAGUGUUUGAAGUUGAGGAUCGAUCAAGCUCCAAAUGGUAUUUUUUAGAUAAGAAUCUAGUUCAUCUGUUCCAAGAACCUGAAAAAUAAAAUAGGAACGUACAUGGUUUUUUGUUUGAUCGAUAUACAAAGAGCUAAAAAACUUCAAUCAUUUAAUUAAAGCAUACCACCAGAUGACAAUCGAUGAUAAAUCACAAAGAAUUAACGAUAGAAUUCAUUGAUGGGAAUAAGAGAGUGCUGCUACAGGGAGAUCCCUAUCUGUCGGAAUCAGAAAUUAUGUACAAAAUCGAGUUUUUUUGUUGUCUCCAAAACUACUAGUUAUUGUAUUUAUCUACCGUGGGAUGUUUAUUUGAAAUCUGUCUAUCUUGGUGUAGACGUAUGUCUAUGGUGAUCUCUAUCGCUGUGGUGAUCUCUAUAGACGUACUAGCAGAUUUCUAGUCCUAAUAGCCCACCUCCCCGCAGUGCACACCAAGAAGUUGCUUGGAAGGAUCAUCUAUAUAUGUUUGGUAAGUUAAGUUGUACUUGAAGUGCUAUUAUUUAAUGACAUGAACAUAUUAUUUAAUCAAAUUAAGUUGUAAUAUAUAAAUAAAUACCACUAAGUGAAUUUUAAAAUGCUUAAUUCCCUUAACCCAACUUCCGUUUCUCAAUCUCUACAUGGUAUCAAAGCCUUCUAAGGCUCCAAUAACACCAAGCUCCCACUGAAGUACAACAUAAACUCUGUCUUCCGAACGGCGAUGGAAAAGCUCGACUAUACUUGCUGGCACUCUCAGUUUAAGACAGUCCUCGAGCUCCAUGAGCUCACACAGAUUGUGAAGGAGGACCCGCCAUCGACGGAAGAAAGCCUUGACUACGAGGACUGGCGACAUGCUGACCGGUUGGUCAUGACUUGGAUUAAGUUCACCGUCGCCACUUCCGUCCAGCAGAUGAUUGUUUCCUGCAAAAUGGCCAAGGAGGCAUGGGAUCGAUUGGAGAAGUUUCUCUCCCCACUGUGCGUGAUUCACGUGAAGAAUCUUCGCAAUAACAAGUUGUGCACGGCCAAGAAGACCCCUGAGAAUUCUAUGACGGAUUACUUAGUCAUGAUUCGCACCACUGCUGACGCUCUAGCCACGGCAGGCUCACCAGUCCCGGAUGAUGAUAUUGUAGGCUACACGCUUGAUGGACUCGACUUCAACUAUAUAAGGAUCCAGUCGACGUUGCAACUCCAACCAGGUCUGACGUUUGAUGAACUUCUGUCCUUACUAAUCCGCGAGGAGGAUUCGAUUCAGAGGAACCAACCACCUGAAACACCGGCGGCACUAUAUGCACGAAACAACGCUCCACGAACAGGGGAGUCUGGACGUGACAAGAGUCGCAACCGAGGUCGUGACAGAAAGGGAAAAUCGAAUCGCUAUAAAGGAAGUAGGACCGACGACAAAUCAAAAACCGUUGAAGAACACACUGCUGCUCCUCCCACUGGAUCAGGAACGACUCCACCGCUGCUACCAACACCGACGGCGAUGCAAUUUUCCGGCCCAUGCCAAAUCUGCGCGCGAUUCGGACACCACGUGAGAGCUUGCCCAGACAGGAACAAUCAUGUGUUUGUUGCAGAUUCUACAACCUCUGGAAUGUCUGCCCUCUCACUAUCUGGUCCAAUCUCAGGGGAAAGUUCCACUUCUGGGUCAUCUGCAGGCGACUGGCGCCUUGACUCGGGAGCCACGCACCACAUUACUCCGUCGUCGUCUGCCCUGACUCAACCUCGCCGGUACAAUGGUAAUGAUCGAAUUUUAAUAGGAGAUAGAUCAUCUCUUCCAAUUGCCCACUCGGGCACUAUUGAUGUACGCACGGAGGAUGGUGAGAUUCGACUCACCAAUACCCUCCACGUACCUGGACUAUAUCGAAACCUUCUAUCCAUGAAGUGUCUCGCCACUGACCUGCAAGCUUUCAUUCUUAUUGACGAAUUUGGUUUCACCGUGAAGGAGAAAGCGUCCGGGAGGACGAUCGCUCGUGGACUUAAUAACAAAGGAAUGUACCACUUGUCCGGUCGACACUUUAGAGGUGCGGCGAUGACAGGGGUGGGGUACACACAAGUGUGGUCGGGUGGCACCACAGGCUCGGCCAUCCAUCUGAUACCGUCCUAAAGAAAGUUAUCUCGCUCGUUCCAGUUCGUGGCCCUUCGCGACUGCAAUUUUGUCAAGUUUGUGCCUUGAACAAAGGCAGACGACUGUCGUUCUCCACGAGGUCCUCCACUGCCUCUCGGCCACUGGAAGUGUUACAUCUCGAUUUGUGGGGACCGGCGCCGGUGGUCUCUAAGGAGGGAUACAAGUUUUAUUUCAGUAUUGUUGAUGAUUUUUCCCGAUUUUCUUGGAUUAUGCCUAUGGCGUUUAAAUCAGAAUGCUAUGCCUAUUUCUCUAAAUUUGUUCGUCGAAUUGAAAAUCAACUUAUUCACAGAGUAGUAUGGGUUCAAUGCGACGGGGGUGGGGAGUUCAUCAACAUGGAAUUCACAAACUUUCUGGUAUCUAAAGGGAUAUAGAGACGAAUCUCGUGCCCACAUACGCCGCAGCAGAACAGCGUCGUCGAGAGAAAGCACCAGCAUCUAGUCCAAAUUGGAAGGUGUCUACUGAACAAUUCCGGCAUUUCUCAUCUGUACUAGACACAUGCGUUCCAGAGUGCGGUAUUUAUUGCCAACAGACUACCGACUCCUGUCCUCGGCAAGACGAGUCCGUUUGAAAAAUUGUUGAAUCGAAUGCCGGAUUAUAGCAUACUUCGUAAUUAUGGGUGUUUGUGUUUUCCACUAAUUCCAAAUUAAAAGCGAUGCGGAGCAAGCUCGACACUACGUCCAGACCGUCGUGUUUCAUUGGCUACGCCAAUGAAUAUAAGGGCUACAUUUGCUUAGACCCGAUCACCGGGAAAAUUGUGGUGUCGUGGCAUGUUCUAUUCGAGGAGAACACUAUGCCGUUUCAUCUCAAACAAAGUACAGAUGAGACCAGCAACGGCUCGGAUGAGCUGUUUUGUUUGUUGCAGAGUCUCCCAGUCGUCACUGACAACUCACCAACAUCACACAGUCACAGAGCAGACUACACCCGAUAAUUCGAGCUCCAGUCUCUAUGCUCCCGAGACUGUACCGUCUCACAUGAUCUCUGACCCAAGAUCGUCCUCGACUGAAGCAGUAUCGUCUGUCGAUAGAACAGUACCCCCAUCGACGCAUCUAUCAGCAGGCACGCUGAAGAGAUCGCAACGUACGUCGCAGCGACCGAUACGCUUCAGAGAUUUCGUAGUCGACCUUCCCAAGGAAGCCCACAUAUAAAGAAUAUCCGCGAUUUCCGACGUCGACAAACCAACUGACAUCAAGCAGAUCAGAGAGCCGCGAACAGUCCGAGAGGCCGUACUCGACCCACAAUGGGUGGCAGUGAUGGAAGUCGAACUCGAAGCGUUAUCGCGGAACAACACGUGGGACUUAGUCCGGCCUUCUCCACGUAUGAAUAUCGUCGGAUGCCGAUGGGUUUUCAAACUCAAAGAAAAGGCCCGCUUAGUCGCGAAGGGCUUCCAUCAACGAGAAGGGCAGGACUUCGAUCUUACAUACAGCCCUGUAACCAAAGCGGCAACAAUCAGAACCAUCCUCGCCUUGUCCACGGCCAAGGGAUGGCCGUUGCAUCACCUGGAUGUUUGCAACGCGUUUUUGAAUGGAAGGCUCACUGAAGUCGUGCACAUGUCACAGCCGCCGGCGUUCAUAAACAAAGAAUUUCCCAAUCACGUUUGUCGCUUGAACAGGGCUCUGUAUGGCCUCAAACAAGCACCACGAGAGUGGUACCGGCGCCUGAGUACCUUCCUCAAAAGGAUUGGAUUCGUCAAUAGUCAGGCAGACUUUUCGCUCUUCAUUCGCCGAUUCGUUCUGCAGUGUGUAUAUGUGCUGGUAUACGUGGACGAUUUCAUCAUCACCGGGAGUCACCCAGCAGAGAUUAAAUCGUUUAAGCGUACGGUAUGCAACAAAUUUCAGUGCCUAUAUCUGGGAAGUCUGUCAUACUUCCUUGGAUUGGAAGCCAACAUUGCGAACGGAAAUCUACUAAUCACUCAGAGGAAAUACUCGAUGGGGCUACUCCAACGAUUUGGGCUAGUCGAAAGUAAACCUAUUGCUACACACGAGGCUCCGGGAAAGCAUCUAUCCAAGGAUGGCGGUGAAUUAUUCGACGAUCCCCAAAGGUAUCGAAGUCUUGUAGGCGCCCUACAAUACCUGACGCUGUCGAGACCGGAUAUCGCUCAUGCCGUCAAUCAAGUUUGCAAGUAUAUGCAACAUCCUACUGCCGAUCACUGGAAGGCUGCCAAGCGAAUUCUCCGGUAUAUUAAAGGCACGCUCCACAUGGGUCUGGAAUUUCGUUCCUCGAAGUCGACUGAUCUCCAGGUAUACGUCGAUUCGGAUUGGGCCGGCGAUCCAGAUGAUGGAGGUCGACGACAGGGUCCUGCAUUUUUCUUGGACCAAAUCUGGUCACCUGGAUGUCGCAUAAGCAACCCACGGUGUCGCGAUCUUCGGCGGAGGCCGAAUACCGGGCUAUUGCCUAUGCGACUGCAGAACUCCGUUGGUUAUGCCAACUACUACGAGAAUUGGGAAUUCACCUACCGCGGUCGAUUCUGAGCGACAGUAAAUCGGCUAUGUUCAUGGUGAACAAUCCGGUUGUGCAAGCAAGGACGCGACAUAUGGAGAUCGACUACCAUUAUGUCCGCGAAUUUGUGGCUAACAGAUCCCUUACAGUACAACACAUUUCAAGUGCAUUUCAGAUCGCUGAUCUGUUCACGAAGGCACUGUCCACGGAUCUGUUUCGCCGGCACCGGCGUCGACUCAAUCUCGUCGACGUUUCGCCGUCGUGAUUUAAGGGGAGUAUUGGAAUACAGAUAAUGUUAGGGUCAUUAUAGAUAUUCAUACAAUCAAUGUACUAUAAAUACAGCACAUAGGCAUGCUGUAAUCUAUACGAAGUAUAAUACAGAGCAUCCCUUAACCCAACUUCCGUUUCUCAAUCUCUACAUUAAUCACCCUUGAAAAUUUCUUAAGGUGUUUCCUUUAAAUCGUCUGUUUCUGAAUUUGAAUGUUAUCAAUUUCAGUAUUCUUUAUUUCUUUCUUUCAUCUGUUAUAUUAUAUUUUCUCUAUAGGAGGUGAAUUUACAUCCCCAAACCAAGAACGUUUUCAUCACUACAAGGUAUCUCUUUUUAAUAUUAUGUGGUAGCAACAUGAAUCAUUAAUUCUCAUUCUUAAUCAUCAUACUGUGUGAAAUUGGAAAUCGAAGAAAAUCUAUUUUAUGCAAUCAAUCAUUCAUAUAUAAAUAAUGUUAUGAUCAAUGGCAACAUACCCAAAUUUACUAUAAAGAAUGUGCCAUAUUAUUCUUAACCAUUUUGACAGUUUAUGUUUUAUUUUAUACUGAAUUACUACUUUCAAAACAGCUUAUGCUUUUUUUUCUUGAUUGCAUAGGAUUUUUGGACACUGAAUCUUAAAACAAACCAAUGGGAACAACUACUUUUGAAAGGAUGUCCAACUGCACGCUCAGGACAUCGCAUGGUAUGUCUCUUUUUAUUUGCUACUUUAGUGCUUACACCAGUGGUAAGUACUUGCCUAUUCCAUAAUUCCCUUUUUACUUUCAUUUUUAUAAUAGUUGAUUGGAAAAUAAAUAAUGUUAAAUCUUACAUAGGUUAAACAUUCCUAAUUCACAUAGUAUAUUGAUGCAAUACAAAGUGGUCUUGGUUAUGCAUCCAAGGACUUAAUUGGAAAUGACCAAGUGGAAGGUAAUUGGCUUGACCAAGGUCAAGCCAAUUCAUAUCAUUUUUAGGGAAUAUUUAACUCACAUUAUUGGGUUGCUCAUUACCAAUAAUGUGAGUAUAAAUACAAUGGGCCCUUGAGAGGAAGAUCAGUUUAGAAUAUUGUGCAAACAAGGUAUUACCUUAAUUACUCCUCUCUCUCAUUGCUGAAUAUCUUCUACUUCUUCUUGCUUUUCUUACCACUACCUUCACUAUUAUUCACUGUUCUUAGAUCUAGAUCAAAAACUUGGUGGAUUCCAAGCCCCGAUUUGGUCAUUGUGAGGAAGAUAUCCAUCUUCAUCACUGUUUUCGUUUGUCUACUGCAUUGGAGAGUUUCCAACUACAUCAGGUGGUAUCAGAACUUGGUUAGUGAUCGGAAGCUCUCCAAAUCAUGGUUGAUGAUCAUGUGUCGUGCCAAGAAUGCGAAGCUACGACGAAAGCCAUUGCAGAUCUUACUACUGCAAUGCGAGAAGAAUUUCAGGAGUUAAGGAGAUCCAUUACAGCUCCGGGAGAACCGAUGGUGACUGCUGACGGUCGCCCACUACCUGAUCGGAGGCAUCUGGAUCCGUCGUCCACUGUCUUAGAACCACCAGCGGGUGUGUAUCAACGUUGGCCAAUAGAAGAUAACCUGUCUGCACUUAUCAGAGAAGGAACAAAAUGCAGAUAGAUGGGGGUCGACGUUCGCCGGAACCAGUAGCGCCGUUCUUUCCUCGCCGGCCGGUGGACCUUCCGAUAAACACUUAUCAGAGGAGAGGUAAUAAUCUUACUAAUCACUUAGAUCAGUUUGCAGAAUUGUUUGAUGAUGAAUAUGAAGAUGUUGAGUAUAUGCCACCAUGAACCAACCAAAGAAGGCAGCAAUAUCAGAGGAUGAGAAGAGAAUUCACUGAUGCGAACGAUUGUGGAAUUGUGGAUCAGAGGCAAUACCCGAGGAGGCAAGGGCAGUUCAAGCUGAAGAUGGAUAUUCCAUCAUUUAAUGGGACUGCCCAUAUUGAGGAGUUUCUGGAGUGGUUAGUAGAGGUAGAGCGUUUCUUUGACUAUAUGGAUAUAGAUGAGGAUCAACAGGUAAAAUUGGUGGUGCUGAGGUUCAAGGGCGUGGCUUCUACCUGGUAGACUACCACUAAUAUAAAGAGAGCUAACCAAAGACCAGUCCGCACUUGGCAAAAACUAAAAAAAUUGCUUAAACAAAGAUUUUUGCCAAGCGAUUAUGAGGGAGUAUUAAUUACACAGUACCAUCAGUGCUGCCAGGGAGUAUGUGACAUAAUCAUUGACAAUGAAUCAACGGAUAAUUUAAUCUCUUGGAAGGCUGUAAAGAAGUUAAAUUUGACACUGGAAGAUCACCCUAAACCUUAUAGUGUCUCGUGGAUCCACAGUGGAAGUUCAGUCACAAUCAACAAGAGUUUUAAGGUCCCACUGUCAAUUGGGAGAAGAUAUAAGGAUGAAAUCACUUGUGAUGUGGUUAAUAUGGAUGCGGCACACGUAUUGUUAGGUAGACCAUGGCAGUAUGAUGUGCUUGCACAUUAUAAUGGGAGGACUAAUCAGUACAUAAUUAAGGUGGAAGGACUGAAAGUGGCUCUACUACCAUUGGCACUUGAAAAAAAUCAACCAUCUGAGAAGCCAAAUUUGUUAGUCACAACACAUGGGGAUUUUAGGAUGACACUUGCUGAAAACGGUACUGGGUUAGCACUGAUAGUGAAAGAAAUCACUGAAAGUAAAAUAAUCUGUAUUCCUACUGCAAUAUCAGAAUUAUUAAAGCAGUUUCCUAGUGUCACUGAAGAAGAACUGAAAGUUCUACCACCACACAGAGCUAUUGACCACAGGAUUGACCUUAACCCUGGAGCCUCAUUACCAAAUUUACCUCAUUACAGAAUGAGUCCAGUAGAAUCUGAAAUAUUUUAAAAUCAAGUAGAGAAAUUGAUGAAGGAAGGACUGAUCAGACCAUCCAUUAGUCCUUGUGCAGUUCCAGCCUUAUUGGUACCCAAAAAAAAUGUGAGUGGAGAAUGUGUGUUGAUAGCAGAGCUAUCAACAAAAUCACAGUGAAAUAUAGAUUUCCUAUACCAAGGUUGGGGGAGUUGUUGGAUGUGUUGCUAGGAUCUAAAUAUUUUACAAAAUUAGAUCUAAAAAGUGGUUAUCACCAAAUAAGGAUAAAAGAAGGGGAUGAGUGGAAAAUUGCCUUCAAAACCAGCAAGGGAUUAACAAAACGGUGGUGGUUUACUUUGAUGAUAUAUUAAUAUACAACAAAGAUAAAGAAACACAUAUUGAGGAUAUAAGCAAAGUAUUACAGUUACUGAAUGAAAAUCAUUUGAAAUUGAAUUUACAAAAAUGUGAUUUUAUGGUUCAUGAAGUGCAUUUUUUGGGAUAUAUAGUUAGUGCUAGUGGACUGAAAGUGGAUCCUGCAAAAACAGAAGCAUUGAGAAGCUGGCUGUCUCCAACCAAUGUAACUGAAGUAAGGAGUUUCUUGGGGUUGGCCUCUUUUUAUAGGAGGUUCAUCAGGGACUUUUAAGUGGUCUUAGUUAUGCAUCCAAGGACUUAACUUGGUGGCCAUGAUAGUAUUAUUGAAGUUACUCAUUCUAUGAGCCAGAAUCUUUCUAUCAAUGAUUGUGUAGUUACUGAUAGAAAUACAAUUCAAACAAAUGGAAAUUUUAAACCCCGAGUGUGCUCAUCAAAUGAGGUCAGUUGCAGUAAAGUUUAAUGCCAUUUUAUUAUUGGUGUAUUACUCUACCAUAACAAUUCAAUUUUAGGCAGUGAAACCUUGUGGACGUAUCAAUUCUUGUAUGUUUGUUGGAAGAGAUACAUUAUAUCUUUAUGGAGGUAUGAUGGAAAUCAAAGAUCAAGAAAUCACACUUGAUGAUCUUUAUACGUUAAAUCUUAGUAAACUUGACGAAUGGAAGUGUAUCAUACCGGUAUAUUUAAAUUUCAGUCUUUCAUUUGCUACUUUAAAGCAUAGAUUAAAAAGCGACGCUUAAAGCGUCGCUUUAAUAGCUUAAAGCGGAAAAGCGCUCCUGGAGGAGCGCUUUCCAAAUCGCUUUUUUUAAGCGGGUGAGUGGAUCGGGUUAGUGGGUUUCUACCCAUCACCAGGCAGUAGAAGCUUAGAGAAGGGAGGAGGAGAAAGAUAUGUAAGCUGCAGUAGAAGCAAACUCUUCAAACAGAUUUCUUCCUCUUUUAUAGUUGCUGGAAGUUUCUCAUGGUCCAGCACCUGUCUGGCCAGGUGUCUUCCCAAAUUAGACACCUGGUUGGUUUGUUACACCUAUAAAUAUUACACAUAUAAAUUACACCUAUAAAUUACACCUAUAAAUAUUCAUCACCUGGUUGGUUUGUUAAACGGUGUAACAAGUUAUAUUACACCUAUAAAUAUUACAUGUUUACUGUAAUAGGAAAUGAUAAAAAAAUACCCUAAAAAUAGCUUAUAAAUAGGAAAUGAUAAAAAAUACGUGUAGUAAGAUAACAUUUUCAGCAAGGUGGAAAUGUUAUUUUACACAUUUUACUACACGUUUGCAGUAAGAUAACAUUGGGUCUUGUGUUUUCAUCAUUCUAUUAGCUACCUGUCUGCAAAUUAUAUGAAAAGUUUAUGUAAUUUCAUCAUUCUAUUGGGUCUUGUAUUUUAAGCAAGUUGCUCUAAGUUUUCGAAAUUUAAUCCAAAAAAUUAAAAAUAAUUUGGAGAUGGCCAAAGAAAGAAAUCUAUUAUUAGAACAUGGUUAUAAAAACAAUAAUGACCAUGAUAAUGACAAAAACAGGGAUUCUUGUAGUGUUUUAUUUUUACAUCGAAUUGAAGAGUUUUAGUUUUAACAGAAUGCUAGAUGAGAAAGGAGACGGAAAAGACAGAUGAGUAUGAACGAAAGCCUCUUUGGAUUAUAGAUUGAAAACUAUAUAAAGGGUAAAAGCUAGCCUUUUUUUUGCGUUUUUCAAAUUUAAAACGAAAGUAUUUGAAAAACAAAUGUUAAUAAUAAUAUAGAUAACUGAUUGUCUCAGUUAAACCUUUGUAUAUCACUAUUAUGAAGGUUUUUAACUGAAAAUAAGUAAAAUUAUAUAUUAAUAUGACCCGCCAAACUCAAUAAUAAAGCCAUAAGAGCACAUGAGAGGGUAGAGUGAGAGACGGAAGAAGAUGACUGACUCAUUAUACCCGUCAAACAUGUCGGGUCUAGGUUCGGGUGGAUAUUUUCAGCUAUGAAAUCUGUUGAACCUGAAUUUUUUUCACCCGAUUUUUUCGAGUUCGGGUUGAAAUUUUUUUAUUAAAAAAACCUUAAAAUAAUUGUCGAGCUCGUGAGCUUCGAUCUUGAGUCUGGACAAUGCCUUAACGAGUUCGAGCCCGAGCCUGAAUAAUUCUUUAACGAGUUGAGCUCGAGUCCGAAUCCGGCUCUAUAAGCAAAAGCUUGGCUAGUCUUGUUUGACACUCUAGCAGUAGCUAACCUUUUUUUACGUUUUUCAAACUUAAAACGAAAGUAUUUAAAAAACAGCUGUUAAUAAUAAUAUAGAUAAAUGAUUGUCUAAGUUAAACCUUUGUACGUAUAUCACAAUUACAAAGGUUUUUAACUGAAAAUAAGUAAAAUUAUAUAUUAAUAUGAGUAUAUGACCCGUACUGUAUAAAUGAAAAUAACAAGCUGUAAUUCGUUCGAACGUCAGACUCAAUAAUAAGGGAAAGUAGAUUGAAAGACGGAAGAAGAUUCGUUAGUUUUUUGUCAUUUUCUAUUAUUUAAUAACGGUGGUUUAAUUAAUUGAAACAUAUUCGUUGGGAUUAUUCACCAAAUAAGAUUCCAUCGAUCUCAACUUUCAUUGUUUUCUUCAACAUUUUCAUACGGAAGUAUUAUAAAUUGCUGGUUGUUCAUGAAAUCAGAAAUCUUAUACAUGUUUUAAAUUAUUUGUCACCAUUUUAAAUUGAUUUCUUCUGAUGACAGAUAACCUAAAAUUUUCUAUUCAUGCUGCAUUAUGUCAGUUUUUGGAUAGAUCGACCGUGAGUCAUGUUCAAAGAAAAACCUUUGGGUGAUGGUUGAUUCGCUGUUCAUUUAAAUGAUUCUUUAUUCAUGGCUCACAUUUAUUUAAUCUCUAUAUAUAUAUAAUUACUCCGUCGAUAGUAUAGCUCUGUCUCUACUUCCAAAAUUCCGAACAUUGUCAUUCUACCUUUCAAGAUUUCUUCUCCACAACCAAUCGAAGCCAUGGAAUCGGUGCUAAUAUCAUUUAUUCUGGAAGAGGCCUCAAAACAUUUGAUCAAAGUUCUGGGGGCGGAAUUCACACUCAUAAAAAAUACUCCGGGCGAAUUGGAAAAACUGAAAAGAUUCAAGACAAUCAUCGUCAAUGUUCAACGAGACGUCGCCGGUCGGGAAUUAAGCCAACAAGAUGUUGUCUGGCUGGAUGAGAUGAUAGAUGCUGCGUAUGAUAUCGAGGAUAUCGUAGAUCUGUUUAAUACAAAGAUUCUUCGACGGAGAAGCAACAACAACAGGAUAUCAACACGGUAUACCCGUCGGGUAAUUGAUUUCUUCUCUUGCACCAAUAAUACUCUUAUUUUUCGCCACAAAAUAGGAACUAGGGUGCAAAAUACAUUCGUUAGAUUGGCUAAUAUUGCGGAAGAGAAGAAAUAUCAUCUUACUCUUAGUGGGAGGGAUGGAGUAGAAAACCUGAGAUCAACAAUGCCUGAGACCUUUUCUGAAAUGGGUGAGGAUGAUGUACUGGGAAGAAAACAUGAUCUUAAAAUUAUACUUGAAUAAUUAUUGUUCAAAGAGAAAACAAACAGCGAGGUGCUUGUUUUAGUCGGAAUGGGUGGUGUUGGGAAGACCACACUUGCAAAACUCGUGUACAAUGAUAGCCAAGUAGAUGCUAUCUUUGGUAAAAGAAAGCUUUGGGUUUGCGUAUCAGAAAAUUUUGAUCUGUCGAAAAUUAUCAAACUUGUUAUUGAGCAAAUAGAUGGACACCCGUGUCAACUCGAAGGAUUGCAAGCGUUGAGCAAGAAAUUGAAAGAGCUUUUAGAAAAAAACACGUAUUUAUUAGUUUUGGACGAUGUUUGGACCAGUUCAAGUUUAACUUUGGAUUCUUGGUCGAUUAUGAAAUCAUUGUUUCGUAAUUGUAAGAUUCUGGUAACAACUCGUGAGGAGAAUGUAAAAUAUGUGAUUUUACCAGAAUCUUGCAUACAUCGUGUGGGAUAUCUAUCUUAUGAUGAUUCUCGGACAUUGUUCGAGAAUAUUGCAUUUCCCAAUGGUGAUGUUCCAGAGAAAUUGAAAGAUAUCAGCAAAAGUAUUGUGAAAAAAUGCGAUGGUGUACCUCUAUCUCUGAAGGUUCUUGGUAGUAUGAUGCGAACCAACCAAGAUUACUCUUACUGGAUAGGGAUUGAGAAAAACAAUAUUCUCGAUCCUAAUAUUAAAGGUGAAAAUAGAAUAUUCAAGAUUCUAAAAUUCAGCUAUUAUCAUCUUCCUUUAAAGUCAAAGUUUUGCUUUGUCUACUGUUCUAUUUUCCCCAAAGAUUCAGUUAUGUUUAAAAUAGACUUGAUCCGACAAUGGGUUGGCAAUGGUUUUAUUCCGCUUAACGAGGGAAAUGAGAUUUUCGACGAUUUAUUGUCAAGAUGUUUCUUCCAAGAUGUCGAGAAAGAUGUUUACGGAAGCAUCACAACAUUUAAAAUGCAUGAUUUAAUCCAUGACCUUGCUGAAUCUAUUGCUAAGUCUCUGCAAUGUGGAAUCUUGGAUGAUAGUAUUCAAGAUAGAAAUCUAUCAGAUAGAAAGCAAGUUCGUUAUUUAUCGAUAAUAUUAAACAUGGGAAAAGAAGAAGAAGCUUCUUAUUCAAAUAUUUUGAUCAAAUUGAAAGAUGCAUGUGUGCUACGAACAUUGCAGUUGUUAUCUUAUGGUAUUGUAAGUAAGACAUUUCUGGAUAAUUGCUUCACCAAGUUCAAAUUCUUGCGGGUUUUGGUUUGUUUUGCUCAGUCUAAUCUUGAAGAUAUCCCACCUUCCAUCAACAACCUCAAGCUUCUUAGAUAUGUUGACUUCUCAUUUACGAAUAUAAGACAACUCCCAGAAACGGUCUGCAACCUUCAAAAUUUACAGACGUUGAAACUCAACAAUUGUCGAUAUCUUAUUGUUUUGCCAAAGAAGUUGAGAAAAUUAUCCGAGUUAAGGUAUUUGACAAAUGAUAAUUGUUCUGGUUUGGAUUCAAUGCCUGAUGGGAUGGAUCGCUUGAGUCUUUUGCAGACAUUGGAUAUUUUUGCAGUGAAUGAUGGAGGUAAAAAUUUAAAUGAUUUACGACAUCUGAAUCAUCUAGAAGGAAGUCUUUGUAUAAAAAAUCUUCACAGAAGUCGAAAUGUUGUUUUGGAAAAUGGAAUAUUAAAAAGUAAGAGCAAACUUGUAUCAUUGGAAUUGAAUUUUGGAUAUAAUUGUAAACCGACUGAAGAUGUAAAAGUAUUAUAAGCUUUACAACCACAUUCCCAUUUGAAAUCUUUAUGUAUAAGUUCUUUUGGUGGAUUCUUCAUUCCCUUAGACAUGAGUUCUCUUAAAUCCCUUACACAUUUAAAGAUUUCAAGUUGUGAAAACCUUACAUGUCUUCCAAACAACAUGGGUUCUCUUAAAUCCCUUACACAUUUAGAGAUUCAAUUUUGUAAAAACCUUAAAUGUCUUCCAAACAACAUGGGUUCUCUUAAAUCCCUUACACAUUUAGAGAUUUCAUAUUGUGAAAACCUCACAUGUCUUCCAAACAACUUGGGUUUUCUUAAAUCCCUUACAUAUUUAGAGAUUUCAAAUUGUCAAAACUUCACAGGUCUUCCAAACAACUUGGGUUCUCUUAAAUCCCUUACAUAUUUAGAAAUUUCAAAUUGUCAAAACUUCACAGGUCUUCCAAACAACUUGGGUUCUCUUAAAUCCCUUACACAUUUAAAGAUUUCAAAUUGUCAAAACCUCACAUGUCUUCCAAACAACAUGGGUUCUCUUAAAUCCCUUACACAUUUAGAUAUUUCAUAUUAUGAAAACCUCACAUGUCUUCCAAACAGCAUGGGUUCUCUUAAAUCCCUUACACAUUUAAAGAUUUCAAAAUGUCAAAACCUCACAUGUCUUCCAAACAACAUGGGUUCUCUUAAAUCCCUUACACAUUUAGAUAUUUCAUAUUGUGAAAACCUCACAUGUCUUCCAAACAGCAUGGGUUCUCUUAAAUCCCUUACACAUUUAAAGAUUUCAAAAUGUCAAAACCUCACAUGUCUUCCAAACAACAUGGGUUCUCUUAAAUCCCUUACACAUUUAGAUAUUUCAUAUUAUGAAAACCUCACAUGUCUUCCAAACAGCAUAGGUUCUCUUAAAUCCCUUACACAUUUAAAGAUUUCAAAAUGUCAAAACCUCACAUGUCUUCCAAACAACAUGGGUUCUCUUAAAUCCCUUACACAUUUAGAUAUUUCAUAUUGUGAAAACCUCACAUGUCUUCCAAACAGCAUAGGUUCUCUUAAAUCCCUUACACAUUUAAAGAUUUCAAAUUGUCAAAACCUCACAUGUCUUCCAAACAACAUGGGUUCUCUUAAAUCCCUUACACAUUUAGAUAUUUCAUAUUAUGAAAACCUCACAUGUCUUCCAAACAGCAUGGGUUCUCUUAAAUCCCUUACACAUUUAAAGAUUUCAAAAUGUCAAAACCUCACAUGUCUUCCAAACAACAUGGGUUCUCUUAAAUCCCUUACACAUUUAGAUAUUUCAUAUUGUGAAAACCUCACAUGUCUUCCAAACAGCAUGGGUUCUCUUAAAUCCCUUACACAUUUAAAGAUUUCAAAAUGUCAAAACCUCACAUGUCUUCCAAACAACAUGGGUUCUCUUAAAUCCCUUACACAUUUAGAUAUUUCAUAUUGUGAAAACCUCACAUGUCUUCCAAACAGCAUGAGUUCUCUUAAAUCCCUUACAUAUUUAAAGAUUUCAAAUUGUCAAAACCUUACAUGUCUUCCAAACAACAUGGGUUCUCUUAAAUCCCUUACAUAUUUAAAGAUUUCAAAUUGUGAAAACCUCACAUAUCUUCCAAACAACAUGGGUUCUCUUAAAUCUCUUACACAUUUAACAAUUAAAUAUUGUCCAAGUUUGGUUGAUGAUUCUUUUGCCCUGGAAUGUCUUACUUCUCUAAAAGAAAUAGAAGUGACCGGCUGUGAUCAAUGG